GACGAACGCUGGCGGCGUGCUUAACACAUGCAAGUCGAACGGAAAGGCCCCUAGCUUGCUGGGGGUACUCGAGUGGCGAACGGGUGAGUAACACGUGGGUGAUCUGCCCUGCACUUCGGGAUAAGCUUGGGAAACUGGGUCUAAUACCGGAUAUGAACGGUCUUUGGUGUGAUUGUUGGAAAGAUUUUUUCGGUGUGGGAUGAGCUCGCGGCCUAUCAGCUUGUUGGUGGGGUAAUGGCCUACCAAGGCGUCGACGGGUAGCCGGCCUGAGAGGGUGUACGGCCACAUUGGGACUGAGAUACGGCCCAGACUCCUACGGGAGGCAGCAGUGGGGAAUAUUGCACAAUGGGCGCAAGCCUGAUGCAGCGACGCCGCGUGGGGGAUGAAGGCCUUCGGGUUGUAAACUCCUUUCGCUAGGGACGAAGCCUUUUUUAAGGUGACGGUACCUGGAUAAGAAGCACCGGCUAACUACGUGCCAGCCGCCGCGGUAACAC
rnacentral:rRNA from 1 species